rnacentral:rRNA from 1 species
GUUUUUUUGGUUAAUAAUUUAAAGUUUAAUCUGCCCCCUGAUUGAUAAUUAAAGGGCUGCAGUAUAUUGACUGUACAAAGGUAGCAUAAUCAUUAGUCUUUUAAUUGAAGACUUGUAUGAAAGAUUUGAUGAAAUAUAAACUGUCUCUAAGUUAAUUAUAGAAAUUAAUUUUUUAAUUAAAAAGUUAAAAUAAUUUAAAAAGACGAGAAGACCCUAUAGAGUUUUAUAAUAAUUAAAAAUUUGGAUUAUGUAUAUAAAUAAUAAAUUUAAAAUUUUAUUAUUAUUUUAUUGGGGUGAUAGAAAAAUUUAAUUAACUUUUUUUAAAAAAAAAUCAUAAAUAAGUGAAUAAAUGAUCCAUAAAUAGUGAUUAAAAGAAAAAAUUACCUUAGGGAUAACAGCGUAAUUUUUUUUUUUAGUACAAAUAAAAAAAAAAGGUUGCGACCUCGAUGUUGGAUUAAGAUAAAAUUUAAAUGCAAAAGUUUAAAAUUUUGAUCUGUUCGAUCAUUAAAAUCUUACAU